GGGGGGGGGGGGGGGGGGGGGGGGGGGGGGGGGGGGGGGGGGGGGCGUGGGGUGGCGGGGGCGGUUGGUGGGGAGUGGCGGCGGGGUGAGUGCUGGAGCGGAGCGUGCCUUUUAGUGGGGGAUACCGUGGCGAAAGUUACGCUACUCACGCCUAUUCUCUGAGGCGGAAAGCGGGGGACCCUCGGGCCUUGCGCUAGACUAGCGGCCGAUGUCGGAGUCGCUAGUUGGUGAGGUAAAGGCUCACCAAUGCAACGAUCCGUAGCGGGUCUGAGAGGAUGAUCCGCCACACUGGGACGUAGACACGGCCCAGACUCCUACGGGAGGCAGCAGUGGGGAAUUUUGGACAAUGGGCGCAAGCCUGAUCCAGCCAUGCCGCGUGAGUGAAGAAGGCCUUCGGGUUGUAAAGCGCUUUCGGCUGGGAAGAAAUCGCACCCUCUAAUACAGGGUGUGGAUGACGGUACCAGCAUAAGAAGCACCGGCUAACUACGUG
rnacentral:rRNA from 1 species